UACUCUCUAAAACGUGAAGCUCUCUCUCCAUUCUCUAGUUCAUCUUCUGCGAUUCCAAGCAAGGGAGGAAGAAGGAAGAAGAAGCCGUGAGCACCCUCCAUAAUCCACCUUGAAGCCAUGAGUUUUGAAGCUUGCUUUCAAGAUUCAAUAGUUCAUCGUUCAAGUUCUUCAUCACCAUCUCCAUUCACGGUGGUUAAAUUAUAUGCUUGCUUUGAGCGUACCAAUUGGGCUUGUUGAGAAGAAGAUUUUUGGUUUAGGAAGUGUGGCCAAAUUUUGAGUUUGACGGCGGCUCUGCCACCGUCUGUGGCAGCCAUUUCCAGCCACCCCAGUGGUGACAGUUUCUGAUCUACGAAUCUGGUGUCACAAUAAUGACAGAGGCAAUUAUUAUCGUAAGGCUGAACCUUGGCCGAGGUGACAGGUUACGAUUCAGUUAGAGCUCUAGUCUGUCUGCCAUUGUAAUGCAUGGGGAUGACGCGUGGGGUUACUUGAGGCCCAUGAGUACACGUGUUUUUGAAAGAGAGUUUCGGGUGGUUGCUUUCUUUUGUUGUCCGAGAGGGAUAUGAGUUUCAUAUUAUGUUGUGAGUUGGAUUAAUAUGAUUUUAUCACUUAAUGAUUUAUUGGGAGUUGAUGGGUGAUCAUCUACUUUAGUCGAAGUUGAUGGGUGAUCAUCGACUAUCGACUUUAAUUUGGAGUUGA